GACGAACGCUGGCGGCGUGCUUAACACAUGCAAGUCGAACGGAUAGGCCCUGCUUUUGUGGGGUGCUCGAGUGGCGAACGGGUGAGUAACACGUGAGUAACCUGCCCUUGACUUUGGGAUAACUUCAGGAAACUGGGGCUAAUACCGGAUAGGAGCUCCUGCUGCAUGGUGGGGGUUGGAAAGUUUCGGCGGUUGGGGAUGGACUCGCGGCUUAUCAGCUUGUUGGUGGGGUAGUGGCUUACCAAGGCUUUGACGGGUAGCCGGCCUGAGAGGGUGACCGGCCUCAUUGGGACUGAGAGACGGCCCAGACUCCUACGGGAGGCAGCAGUGGGGAAUAUUGCACAAUGGGAGGAAGCCUGAUGCAGCAACGCCGCGUGCGAGAUAACGGCCUUCGGGUUGUAAACCGCUUUCGCCUGUGACGAAGAGUGAGUGACGGUAAUAGGUAAAGAAGCACCGGCUAACUACGUG
rnacentral:rRNA from 1 species